UGCUCCCAAUUCUGUCCGUCUCAUCUAUAAAACAGGAGCACUCACUCUGCCUCACAGGAAUGGUGUGGGAUUACCUCACUCAGAUGCCUAGCUCAGCACCUUGGGUCCAUAAGCUUAGCUGCUUCUCACUGCCUCUUCCUCACACAUGGGAAAGCGCCCCAGGAACCAGCAAGCUCCAGAAUGCACAGCUUGCUUAUGAUGAAGGCAAGGAAUGUUUUGCAGUCAGACCCAGCCUUUUGGUUGAACACCGCAGCAAUUCCAGGCCCUGCCUCUCUCUUUCCUUUCUGAGGAGGACAUCACUUGAUCUGGCCCAUGGUAUCUCCAGCUCCUCUGGCGUUCUGUGAGGUGAAUAUUUAUCCUGUGCAUGGGAGACCUGGAGCUCACUGCCCAGUCCUACUGGAGUCUGUAUUGAGAAGCCCAAGGGUCUACAUUGGAAGCCUGAAGAGUCUGCACUGGAAGGGGAAGAACGUGCUGGAAACCUGGUGAUGGAUGUCCAAAGAUGAUGGUGGAGACUGGAGCUCCUCUGAAGAAGCAGAAAUGAGAUUUUCUUCAUCCUUCCCUUUUUAUUCCAUUCAGGCUACAAGGUUAUUGGUUGAUGCCACUCACACCCAGGGUGCAUCUUCUCUCUUCACUAAGUCCCUCAUUCAGCCACACCCAGAACUAUGCUAAGCCAAUCAGCUGGGUGUUCUUAUUCAAGCUGACACAACAGUUAACUAUGAUAGUUGACUUUCCAAUGGAACAUGGUGUGGCCCGGGAAAUACUGCUUUGCAAAUAUUCUUUCAGUGAUGGGACCUUGGGCCAUGAGACAGGAAAUCUGUGCCUAGUGUUCAGCCGACACCUGAAAGGUGAGAAAUAGGGGUAUUUUAAUCCUGAUUGGUUGUUGGAAAUUUAGGGUAAUCUUCACUCUCAUAUGCUUAAGUCUCCCAAAGAGCACAGAUGAGACUUGGGGUGAAGUGACACAACUGUGAAGCUACUCAGGUAGCUUUGGAAGGUGCUAGAUGCAUCUUAUAUGCUCUGAAAACUGAUGAGGAAGUGUGAGAAAGCAACAGAAUUUAUAUGGAUUAUCACUGCUAAUUAGUGUGCAGACCACCUCCUCUGUCCCCUUUUAUCUGUCUCUCUUACCUUCUUUCAUGAAGCAGGAGAUGAAUUCACAAUUCAAGUUUUCUCUUUAGAAUAUGACACUUACAGGAAAUUAUAUUUUCUCCUAUUUAUAGCUUUUUCAUUUGCAUUUAUGAAGCUGGUAAUGUCUCAUAAAUAUUUCUUGCCAGAUUAAAUAUUAAUCAGUAGAGUUUGUUGAAUUAUAUUCUGAAACCCUAACUAAAUCUCUUCUAAGACAAAUAUUUUAAGUACUUUUCCCUCAUGUCAGAAGAAUUUCUCAUAUACUACUUGUAUAUGUUAAUAAGUUUAUCUAGAAAGACCAACUAUCUAUCAAUUAAUGAAAUCUAAUUUCUCACUUUUACAAAAUCAUGUGACUGCUAUCCUGGUAAACGCAAAAUAUUGGCGACACCGUUGAAUCCAUUCUAGAUUAUAUCAUUUUUCCUCAAAAAAGAGUCAGCAACCUGAAUUUACUGUUC
rnacentral:lncRNA from 1 species